GGGGCAUUAGCUCAGCUGGGAGAGCGCUACACUGGCAGUGUAGAGGUCGGCGGUUCGAGCCCGCUAUGCUCCA
rnacentral:tRNA from 1 species